rnacentral:tRNA from 1 species
CCGCGGCGCUCACGCCUUCCUGCUCCAGUUGGCGCGCCGCCUCCAGCGCCUCCGCCACCAUAAUGCCGUUGGCGAU